rnacentral:rRNA from 1 species
CUAAUACAUGCAAGUCGAGCGGACCGACGGGAGCUUGCUCCCUUAGGUCAGCGGCGGACGGGUGAGUAACACGUGGGUAACCUGCCUGUAAGACUGGGAUAACUCCGGGAAACCGGGGCUAAUACCGGAUGCUUGAUUGAACCGCAUGGUUCAAUCAUAAAAGGUGGCUUUUAGCUACCACUUACAGAUGGACCCGCGGCGCAUUAGCUAGUUGGUGAGGUAACGGCUCACCAAGGCGACGAUGCGUAGCCGACCUGAGAGGGUGAUCGGCCACACUGGGACUGAGACACGGCCCAGACUCCUACGGGAGGCAGCAGUAGGGAAUCUUCCGCAAUGGACGAAAGUCUGACGGAGCAACGCCGCGUGAGUGAUGAAGGUUUUCGGAUCGUAAAACUCUGUUGUUAGGGAAGAACAAGUACCGUUCGAAUAGGGCGGUACCUUGACGGUACCUAACCAGAAAGCCACGGCUAACUACGUGCCAGCAGCCGCGGUAAUACGUAGGUGGCAAGCGUUGUCCGGAAUUAUUGGGCGUAAAGCGCGCGCAGGCGGUUUCUUAAGUCUGAUGUGAAAGCCCCCGGCUCAACCGGGGAGGGUCAUUGGAAACUGGGGAACUUGAGUGCAGAAGAGGAGAGUGGAAUUCCACGUGUAGCGGUGAAAUGCGUAGAGAUGUGGAGGAACACCAGUGGCGAAGGCGACUCUCUGGUCUGUAACUGACGCUGAGGCGCGAAAGCGUGGGGAGCGAACAGGAUUAGAUACCCUGGUAGUCCACGCCGUAAACGAUGAGUGCUAAGUGUUAGAGGGUUUCCGCCCUUUAGUGCUGCAGCAAACGCAUUAAGCACUCCGCCUGGGGAGUACGGUCGCAAGACUGAAACUCAAGGAAUUGACGGGGGCCCGCACAAGCGGUGGAGCAUGUGGUUUAAUUCGAAGCAACGCGAAGAACCUU